UGAUCUUGUGGAGCUCGAACGAUUACGC
rnacentral:sRNA from 1 species